AGUCUGGGGUGGUGGUUCUUCCUCAUCAACUGUUUUAGGAUCUGUAACCUGAAAAUCGAGAAUGUUUAUGGCAACAGCCCAAAGAAAUGAAAGGCUUUAAAAGUCUGGGGGAAAGAAUGAGCAAUAAUUCACCUCCUAUUAAAACUAAACUGCUGAAGUUAGGCAUUAUGUAACAGGCAACAAGAAAACAAAUGGUUAGAAGAGAAAAGGAAGCAAAAAGCCAGUUAACAGUGGUGUGGUAUUAGGGAGUGUUCCUUCUACUUUUAAGGGGAAGAGAGGAAAAGAAAAUUGCGGGAAGUUUGCAGCACAGAAACCUCCUUGUGUGCCUCCGGUGUCUGGGCUGCUCCAUUUCUAGGAGUGGAUGCACUUAAUGACAGAAAAACAACCAGAAACCAUCCCUGGCCAAGCAAUCAGACACUGAUGGAUGACACCCCCCCCCCUCUGCCAGGGCCUGAGCAAGUCCUGCAGAAAGAGAUGGCAAAACACAGUAAUAUUGGGAGAAAAGGGCAGGGGGAGCUGCAGGAAUAAAGCAUCCAACACGUGUAACCUGGCAAAACAAGCUCACAGACAAGAACACCUUCACGUGGCCACAGCUGGGGGAGCAGGAUGGGACCUGCAAAUGUGGGAGCUGCAAAUCUGAUCUGAAUGAUUUUUUUGCCUGGUGAUGCCCUUGUAAAUGCAUCAAUAAUGAACAUUUUCCUUGAAAGCAUCAUUUCCCCCCCCCUUAAUCUAUAAAACUGCAGGAAAACAAUUAUUUUUUGAAACUUUUUCGACUUAUAUUUGUGCUGUCCCAAACUAUCCUGCCAAGUGACCUCGAGGAGUGGGGCAGUGUCACCACGGCAGGUGACCAUGUACCUGCCCCACUGAGGAGUGACCCACACAGGGCUUGCCCUGAGAACACACCUGGGAUCAAGAGGACCACGAAUUCCAAAUCAGAAUGGUGAAAGCAGUGGGAAGAAAGUGUGGAAGAACCCUUCUGGGAAGCUGAGCCUCUCUGGGGGUGGGAGAUCAGGACCACGAAGAAAAGGUAAGUGGGGUUUAUUGCUCCAAAUGGAAAUGCAGAAAUCAUAAAGCAAAUUAAAACUUGGCACACAGGUUUCCUGAACCGUGGAAGGACACAGCUCUGCAGGCAGCAGGAUGUUUUUGGUGGAACCAACUGACUCACUGCACUGAUGGUUUCCUGGGCAGUUUUCCAGGAGAGGCGACCAAAGUUUGCUCAUGGGCCAACAAGAUGCUUCCUUCAGGACUUCUUUCACCCCUUCCAACAACAUGGAGCAAUGAAUUAAGGACAUGAGAGUGCCAACACAAUGGAGUCCUGAUCCCUGGCUCCAAGACUCAGAUAUGAAAGAUUUUCAGAACUCCCCGGACAGCAAACAUAAUCAUAUCAACACAGCUUUAAUUAGCAGCAAUCUGCACUAAUUAUUUUUGCCAUCAGCCAAAUUAUAACUGGAAGAAAACAAGUGCUCUUAAUAGCCCUGCUAGAAGAAAGCCUGUCCACUGUUCCUGUCAGAGGAAUGGAGUCACCACACGCCCUCUGAUGUUGUGUCAACUGCUCAUUAGCCCUGGGAAGCAGAAGUUUCACUCCAAGCACAAAGUCCCAGUGGUUUUCCAAGCUUAGAAUUUUCUAUCCCACAACUCCUGGAGCGAUCCAAUGACUCCCACCUUCCCAUUAGGCACAGUAAGUAGCAAGUAAAAGCAACAAACUCCUGUGUAAUGGUUCAUUAGGAGCUGUAAUUACGUUUCCCCUUCAUCCUUCACACAGGUUGGCUGAGAUUUCACAGUCCCAGGAAAACCAGGCCCUUCAAACCCGGGUGCUGCACGUGAUUCUAGAGCUGCUGGUGGCCAAGAGGAAAUCUGGACUGGGAUCUUGGCAGGCUUGAGGCCAAGCAAAUCCACAGGAGACCAUGGAGAUGCUCCAAGGGCUGGAUCCCUCUGCUCUGGAGCC